GUCCCCUAAAAUGAAUUUGUUAACUGGUGAUCCCCCAAACUCCAAGACAUCUUGGAUACUCUUCGUAAGUCAGUUGUGCCAGUGAAUGGCGGCGUUUCGGGACUGGCGGCUGCUGAGAAACGUUUACAAACAGUGCUGAGAUGCACACAGUGCUGUAGCUACUUCACAGCCAUUGCUCCCAGUAAGUGUACUCAACAAAACGUUCUUUCUAACAAAACAAAACUGGAAGCAACGGUGACAAGCGGCACUGAUAAGACUUCUACGGAAGCUGCCUAAAAUGUGUUAUUACAGAAAACUCCAGAGUUUAUAAAUUACUUAUUUCCAAAUAGCUGCAUUGCUUCUUUAGUGAGUGAUGAUAUUAUGGAGAGAAAAAAAUUGACUACGAUCGAUCUAAUCCACACAUAUAAUGCUGAGCCAUGCAUGUUCAAAGCAUAGUCCGCCUGACUACUUUACCCAAGGGAAAAAUCAACAAGAAGCGAGGCUUGUGGCGGAAAUUAAUGGACAGCAGACGCUACUGGAAACGGAGAGCCCACCAGUGCGAGCUUUUCCCGCGGAGGCAUUCAGAAGCCACGCACUUCGCCACGCUAGGGCACUGACAGAGACAAAGGAACCGAGUGUCACUGGCAGUUACAGGAGCUUGGACAACUUGUGGGCAGCUACACCACUGAGGAAAAUUCCCUCCCUGCCCAGCAAAUGUUAACUGCUCACAUCUUCUUGGGGACAGGCAGGCCUCAUAGGCUCCAACCCAUUCUGCAACCCGGAGUGUUAAUGGGCCCAAUCUUGUGUGGGCCUCAUGUAGAUAAUUCCAGAGAACUUAUGAGGGAAAAUGAUAGGCCUUUUCCGGAAGUCAACUUUCUAUACAGGAAGUGUGCAGGCUCUUCCUGGGUGGGGAUCCUGUCCUCCUCACUGUGCAUCCUACCUAGAGCCUAGUCAAAGUCUGUCUUACCUCUGGAGGAUGCUCACACAGUAUCCAUGGAACAAUGCACAUCUCACUCACCAAAUGCAGCACUUUUUGUUGUUUGCUUGUUUUAUUUCUCUUGUAUCUUCUCUUAUUAUAAUACAUGGUUCUGUUUAAAAAGCUCCUUUGUAGGUAGAAAUUUGCUCCCAUAGUACAACACUGGAAACUAGAGUUGGCAAUUGCACAUUUCAACAGCCACGUGGGAAACUCCGAACACCUCCAGGGACUGCAAGUCUUCACUUCAGUAAUUUAUUACAGGUUCUCAGUCAUUUGGGAUGUGUUCACAAAAUGAAACUGUGUGGAAAUGAAAAACUAAAAAAGGUGACUUUAAAGAAUGUGCACAGGACAGGGUUAAUGUUGCUAUCUUUUUCUCAAAGAAUUGUCCCAUGCUAAGUAUUUGAGAACUAGGAAAUGUAUGUAACAGCCCUCUACUUCAGAAAGAAUAGCUCCUAAUGUUUUUGUCCUCUGUGAAGAAAAAAAAAGAUAAAUAAAUUCAUAUUUGAGACACUGUGUGAAAGACAUAAUAAGACUCCAAAGAAAACAAAUGAACAAUAUCUACAAAUGCCCACAUGAUUUAGUGAAAGGCAGAGUUCAGGGAAGCCUUUAGAAGAACCUCCACUGAGGCUGCUCAUACAAAUUUAGAAAGAAGAUUAAACCAAACAAUGCGCUGCCGGAAGUCACAUGUAUCGUUUUUAAACUACAAAGAAAGCAGAGAUACUUUUAAAAGCUGGGCUAGGGACCGCUCAGGGAUGUAGCACCGGCUUAGCCUGUGGGAAGCCGUGUCCAGUCCUGCACAUCUGCAGAGGAAACUGAGAAGGAAAGAAAGAAAAGGAGUCUGACUGUAUGAUGGAGGUCAACGCCGGCCUUCAGCCCCCAGCACCCAAAAGCAAGCCAGAGAGCGAAAAGACAGAUGCGAGCUUCCGAACAACUCACUCUGGGCCGGAAGGGGUGUUCAGGGGGGGCUGGCAGGGAGUUCCAAAGGUGCGGGUGACAUUCUGUGUCUUCAGCUGGGUGCUAGAUUUCAGAAACUCUACGUGCAUGCUAUAGAACGUGGAACGAUUAGCACUGAAAACGAGCACACAGUGUGACUUCGUAAGCUCUCUCGUGAGACUGUCUUGUAACAGAGUGGAGGCAGAGCAUUCAGGAUCAUGAAAAACCAGGAGAUAAAGACAAUCCUGCAGUAUCAUUUUUUUCUUUUUAAUACCAAGUGUAGGAAGAAACCAUCUUAAAGCAAGCGGGGAUAUCGCGCAGAUAUUUUGUGGGAAUGAGGUAAAGCAUUAGCAUGACGUUUUCAAGGUGAAAACCUGAGUGUUGGGAAACCGGCUGCCUCUUGCAGGGAGCUGCAGUCAGCCUGACCCCAGACCACACGGGGGUGCUAUUUCAUUGUCCUUUAUAAGGAAUAUGCCGUUCCAGGAAGGAAGUUGGCGUGAUCCAGGAGCAGAGGAAGAUCCUUGUGGACACAGCACGAGGGUAUUGAUGCUACGACACCGCGGUGUGGCGUCACGCAACCAGGCUUCCUCUGCGCGCAUUGCUUUAGGGAUUUUAGCUGGAACAGUUAUCGUUCUUAGUGCUGGAGGUAGGGAGGCCUGGGCGGUAGCGCUGACAGGCAGGCCUUGGUGGGAGCAGGAAGGGGCGAGUUUGAAGCUU